rnacentral:rRNA from 1 species
GUCGAGAAUCUUUCACAAUGGGGGCAACCCUGAUGGAGCGACGCCGCGUGGAGGAUAAGGUCUUCGGAUUGUAAACUCCUGUCAUGCGUGAACAAGGUUGCUUGGUUAAUACCUGGGCAAAUUGAUGGUAACGCAAGAGGAAGAGACGGCUAACUCUGUGCCAGCAGCCGCGGUAAUACAGAGGUCUCAAGCGUUGUUCGGAAUCACUGGGCGUAAAGGGUGCGUAGGUGGCGUGGUAAGUCAGAUGUGAAAGCCCGGGGCUCAACCUCGGAACUGCAUCCGAUACUGCCAUGCUAGAGUACUGGAGAGGUGACUAGAAUUCUCGGUGUAGCAGUGAAAUGCGUAGAUAUCGAGAGGAAUACCAAAGGCGUAGGCAGGUCACUGGACAGUUACUGACACUGAGGCACGAAGGCCAGGGGAGCGAACGGGAUUAGAAACCCGUGUAGUCC